CUGAUCACACAGUGAUGGGAAACUGUCAUUUUAAUUAUAAGAGAAAAAGAUAUUAUUUUUUAUUUCAUUUUCUUAAUAAUAAACUUGAGAUCCCAUCCCAUCCAGGGUGAGCCCUUGCCUUGUGCCCUGUGCUGCUGGGGAACGACUGCAGGCCUGUUUUUACAAAAUAGUGUAACAUGUUGUGUGAUAAUCUCUAGCUAUUUUCAUGCUCUUUGUUAAUGUCUCCUGUUCCUCACAUGUGUCCUGUGUAAUAGUACAGAUGUGGCUGUACCGUGUUUCUAUAAAGCAUGUAAGACUUUACUGUUCACAUCCACCCUCUUAUUCAGCUCUUUGGUCCAGCUGGCUCUGUAUGUAGGACUGAGCUUAUUGGUGCUGCUGUUGGUCAUCAUCAUCACAUGGAAAGUGCGGGACAAACACAAGAAAAAUGUGGCUGGGGGCCAAAAUCUAGGAAGGACAGUAAGUUCAUGUUUCAUAUGGGAAGAAAAUCUGUCAUGCUCCGAUCAUGCCGAUCCUCUUGUGUGCCAAGCCCCCUCACCUAACUCAAGUUGAAUCCUCGUGUUAUCAGCUGCUCUGUCCUGUGUAUUUAAGUCCGCCUCAGAGUAUGUUUCCCCAUUCAGCGUAUUUCCGAACCCACAAAUGCUACCCAGGGUCAUUAACAUCUUAAUGUUACUGGUGGUCCUUGAGUUCCCGAUGGUGUCAUCCCCUAAUAAAUCCCUUGUUUUCCCGAUCGUGGCAUAUAUGGUUGCCCGUGUCUUGUAUGCACCCUGUACGACCCUCGCAUGUCUUUAGCAUCAUGUAAAUUACUCACUUUUAUGUACACGCACAAAAAACACGUCACGUCUGGGGAAUAUUAAGGGGACAGUAUACGGGAUGAGGAGAGCAAUUUUUUUGGAAAAAAUAAAUGAACAGCUUCGGUCUUCCUUAAAACGCGACAUUUUGGCGACGAGAAUAGAGCUUGCACUUCCACCACCUUCACCUUCUCUUGCACUUCCUGGCGAACCUCCUGUCCCUUGGACUCGCUGGCUGGAAUCAUUCCAGACAUACUCGGAUGCCCUGGGACAGCAUGAAGUCAGCGACGCUCGGAAGAAAGCCAUACUUAUUCACUGCUUAGGCACGGAAGGACGGCAGAUCUUUCGGACGCUCGGACCUGCGGAGAUGUAUGAAGACGCUGUUUCGCUCCUGGGUUCUCACUUCGCAGCUCCACAAAGUGUCAUCCUGUGGCAGAUUCUUUUUCGCCGAAGGCGACAGCAGCCGGGUGAGUCCGUACAUCAGUACGUGGCUAAUCUGCGUGGUUUAGCCAGUCUUUGUAAAUUUGGUGGCAUGCAGGAUGAAUUCAUUCGUGGUCAGCUGGCUGAACACUCUAACCACCCUAAAAUUAGAGAGCGACUGUUGACGGCAGCACAUGACCUCGCUAGCGCUAUACAAGUCGCGUUUCAAAUUGAAACAGCAGCGGAGUUUACGUCUAAAUUACCUUACCCCGCUGUCACCUCGCUCCCUGCACAAUAAGUAUCUGCAUCACAGCCACCUUCGUCAGGACUAUCUGAAGUUGGUUCAGACGUGCAUUAUACACCGCGAAAGCAACAACGACAACGCUGUGGGAAUUGUGGCUCAUUCUCCAAUGUGUCGACCCGCCCGUCCGAUCCUCCUGGAUGCCGUGGAAUCCCCGUGUUUACCAGCUGUUUUGAAGUGUCUUCAUUAGUUUUGUGUAUUUAUGUCCAGUCCGAGCUUGCCAUAUCAUGACGCCGUGUUACUGGGGCCUGGAGCUGUCCUGCCCAUGGGCAACGGUGCCAGCGCUGUGGCAAAGUUAACCAUUUUGCCAAAACCUCUGAGGAGCCUGGUGCUGAUGUCACCUACAGCUCCAUUGUCCUGCCAGAGCAGGUGUCCUCAGGAUGUUCUUCACACUGUCCUGCUGUAACCCAGCCAGCGACGUGAUCUACAGCUCAGUCACCCUGAAGCACAGAGAGGGGGCAGCAACUGAGGCACUGCUCUACAUGUGGGGAGCUGCUGCCCAGGAUGAGAGGGACACGCAGAUACUCCAGUGAUGGGGAGGGAUCAUCACCAUGGAGGAGAAUCUUACAGUGAUGUGAGCUGUAUUUAAAUGGCAUGCAGCAAUGUCAUGUUACAGUGUGACAGUAAGAAUCAGCCAGUGAGAAACAGUCAUUCGUGGCUGUUGUGCAUUUUUACCGUGAUCAAGACGCCAUUUGCUGCACUUGUACGUCGCUUUGGAGAAAAACUUUUGCUAAAUAAGAUAAAUGUAAAUGUGAGGUUUUAUUCUGGCGGUCUGUGAAAUGUCACUUUUAUAUUAAUGGAGAAAAUAUCAUUAGCAGUAUUAGUUUAUUUGUAUAAUAUAAAAUGUCUAUUAUCAUAAUAUACAGUAUUUUGAGAAA